UACGUAGGGUGCGAGCGUUAAUCGGAAUUACUGGGCGUAAAGCGCACGUAGGUGGCUGUGUAAGUCGGGUGUGAAAUCCCCGGGCUCAACCUGGGAACUGCAUUCGAGACUGCAUGGCUGGAGUACGGAAGAGGAAGGCGGAAUUCCCGGUGUAGCGGUGAAAUGCGUAGAUAUCGGGAGGAACAUCAGUGGCGAAGGCGGCCUUCUGGUCCAGUACUGACACUCAAGUGCGAAAGCGUGGGGAGCAAACAGG
rnacentral:rRNA from 1 species